CGCGGCCUAUCAGCUUGUUGGUGAGGUAACGGCUCACCAAGGCAAUGACGGGUAGCUGGUCUGAGAGGACGAUCAGCCACACUGGGACUGAGACACGGCCCAGACUCCUGCGGGAGGCAGCAGUGGGGAAUCUUGCGCAAUGGGCGAAAGCCUGACGCAGCAACGCCGCGUGGGGGAUGAAGGCUCUCGGGUUGUAAACCCCUUUCAGCAGGGACGAAAUUGACGGUACCUGAAGAAGAAGCCCCGGCCAACUACGUGCCAACAGCCGCGGUGACACGUAGGGGGCGAGCGUUGUCCGGAAUUAUUGGGCGUAAAGAGCUCGUAGGCGGUUUAGUAAGUCAGAUGUGAAAGGUUGGGGCUCAACCCUAAGACUGCAUCCGAUACUGCUAUGACUAGAGUCCGGUAGAGGAGUGUGGAAUUCCUGGUGUAGCGGUGAAAUGCGCAGAUAUCAGGAGGAACACCGACGGCGAAGGCAGCACUCUGGGCCGGUACUGACGCUCAGGAGCGAAAGCGUGGGUAGCAAACAGGAUUAGAUACCCUGGUAGUCCACGCCGUAAACGUUGGGCACUAGGUGUGGGGCCUUAUCAACGGGUUCCGUGCCGUAGCUAACGCAUUAAGUGCCCCGCCUGGGGAGUACGG
rnacentral:rRNA from 1 species